UCAUCGUAGGGUUAGUCGGGACCCAAGUCGAGUCCGAAAGGGGUAGACGAUGGCAAAUUGGUUAAUACUCCAAUUCCGACAGUUGUUCGUUGGAGUGAUGGGGGGUAGCAUAGGCAUAAUUGAGCCAGCUGAUGGAAUAGCUGGUCGACAGUAACAUGAAGAAACCUAGGCAACAAUAUUCUGCAAUAUUACAAGAUCUUCAAAGACUUCGGUGUGCGAGGUGAAUGGAGAAUACCGUCGUGCCAAGAAAAGCCUCUAAACGAGAACAACUGUCGCCCGUACGGUAAACCGACACAGGUGGGUGAGAUGAGUAUUCUAAGGCGCGUGGAAGAACCCUGGUUAAGGAACUCUGCAAACUAGCACCGUAUCUUCGGUAUAAGGUGUGCCCACAGUAGGUGAAAAGGAUUGCCCUUGGAGCCCAACCGGGUCGCAGCAAAGUCUCCCUCCCGA
rnacentral:rRNA from 1 species